AAAUCACAAUGCGGAACAAUGUUUUGCAAUUGGAUUGAGAACAACGUACAAACCUUAUCGAUAAACAAUUGGAGGGCAAGUCUGGUGCCAGCAGCCGCGGUAAUUCCAGCUCCAAUAGCGUAUAUUAACGUUGUUGCAGUUAAAAAGCUCGUAGUUGAAAUGAAGGGUAGUUGUGUAAUGAAUACAUUCGUGUAUUUUGUUAUUCUACUACCCUCCUUCUAAAUUCGAUAUAUGAGUAUUAAUUUACUUGUAUAUGGUUUUAGACGUUUACUGUGAGAAAAUUAGAGUGUUCAAAGCAGGCAUUUGCUUGAAUAUAUUAGCAUGGAAUAAUCAUGUAUGAUUUUCAUGAUGUAUUUGAUUGGUUUGGUUCAUGAGAAUAAGAUUAAAAGGGACAGUUGGGGGUAUUCAUAUUCAAUAGUCAGAGGUGAAAUUCUCGGAUUUAUGGAAGAUGA
rnacentral:rRNA from 1 species